rnacentral:misc_RNA from 1 species
UUUCCGUAGGUGAACCUGCGGAAGGAUCAUUAACGAGUUAGGGUCUUUUAGGCCCGACCUCCCAACCCUAUGUUUAUUGAACCUCUGUUGCUUCGGCGGACCCGUCUCACGGCCGCCGGAGGACCGCUGCGAGGCGUCCUCUGGCCAGCGUCCGCCGAUGGCCAACCCACUAAACUCUGGAUGAAUUGUGUCAUAUGUCUAAGUCUAUGAUUAAAUUAAAGCAAAACUUUCAACAACGGAUCUCUUGGUUCUG